rnacentral:piRNA from 1 species
GACACCUCAUCUAGCUGUUCAGU